GAUGAAGAACGUAGCGAAAUGCGAUAAGUAAUGUGAAUUGCAGAAUUCAGUGAAUCAUCGAAUCUUUGAACGCACAUUGCGCCCGCCAGUAUUCUGGCGGGCAUGCCUGUUCGAGCGUCAUUUCAACCCUCAGGCCCCCAGUGCCUGGUGUUGGGGAUCGGCCCAGCCUUCCUGUAAGGCCGCCGGCCCCGAAAUCUAGUGGCGGUCUCGCUGUAGUCCUCCUCUGCGUAGUAGCACAACCUCGCAGUUGGAACGCGGCGGUGGCCAUGCCGUUAAACACCCCACUUCUGAAAGUUGACCUCGGAUCAGGUAGGAAUACCCGCUGAGCUUAAGCAUAUCAAUAAGCGGAGGA
rnacentral:misc_RNA from 1 species